GACCCCGUCGUCUAGCCUGGUCUAGGACAAGGGCUUUUCAAGCCCUCGACACGGGUUCAAAUCCCGUCGGGGUCG
rnacentral:tRNA from 1 species